GGGCGGAUAGCUCAGUUGGGAGAGCAUUGCCCUUACAAGGCAGAGGUCGCAGGUUCAAUCCCUGUUCCGCCUACCA
rnacentral:tRNA from 1 species